rnacentral:rRNA from 1 species
GAUGAACGCUGGCGGCGUGCCUAAUACAUGCAAGUCGAGCGAACAGACGAGGAGCUUGCUUCUCUGACGUUAGCGGCGGACGGGUGAGUAACACGUGGAUAACCUACCUAUAAGACUGGGAUAACUUUGGGAAACCGGAGCUAAUACCGGAUAAUAUAUUGAACCGCAUGGUUCAAUAGUGAAAGACGGUUUUGCUGUCACUUAUAGAUGGAUCCGCGCCGCAUUAGCUAGUUGGUAAGGUAACGGCUUACCAAGGCGACGAUGCGUAGCCGACCUGAGAGGGUGAUCGGCCACACUGGAACUGAGACACGGUCCAGACUCCUACGGGAGGCAGCAGUAGGGAAUCUUCCGCAAUGGGCGAAAGCCUGACGGAGCAACGCCGCGUGAGUGAUGAAGGUCUUCGGAUCGUAAAACUCUGUUAUUAGGGAAGAACAAAUGUGUAAGUAACUAUGCACAUCUUGACGGUACCUAAUCAGAAAGCCACGGCUAACUACGUG